rnacentral:rRNA from 1 species
UACGUAGGGGGCAAGCGUUGUCCGGAAUCAUUGGGCGUAAAGCGCGUGUAGGCGGUUCGGUAAGUCUGCUGUGAAAGUCCAGGGCUCAACCCUGGGAUGCCGGUGGAUACUGUCGGACUAGAGUACGGAAGAGGCGAGUGGAAUUCCCGGUGUAGCGGUGAAAUGCGUAGAUAUCAAGAGGAACACCUGAGGUGAAGACGGGUUGCUGGGCCAACACUGACGCUGAGGCACGAAAGUGUGGGGAGCAAACAGG